UAGAACAAACUGCAUAGCUGAGGAUGAC
rnacentral:piRNA from 1 species